GAAUGUGUGUGGAAGAAGGAUCGUCUUAUACGGCGAGUAUAUAACAAACUCUAUAUUUUGAGUGGAAAUGUUGCGGGCUCGUCUUAUAUGCCCAGUCAUCUUAGACGCCGGCAAAUACGGUAUGUAUGUAUGUAUGU